rnacentral:misc_RNA from 1 species
CUGCUUGCUUACGGUUUCGUUCGGGCAACCGAGCGGGGCCGGGCACGCUACCCUUGCUUAUGUAUACCUGUUGUUAUUCCCUCGGCGGGGAAACUCGCCGCUGGGAUCACAUAAACCCUUUUGUAUGAAGCAUCAAACCUUCUGAAAACAACUAAAUAAUCA